rnacentral:rRNA from 1 species
UUACAAUGGAGAGUUUGAUCCUGGCUCAGGAUGAACGCUAGCGGCAGGCCUUACACAUGCAAGUCGAGGGGUAACAGGAGAGAGCUUGCUCUUUCGCUGACGACCGGCGCACGGGUGCGUAACACGUAUGCAACCUACCUCUUACUGGGGGAUAGCCCAGAGAAAUUUGGAUUAACACCCCAUAGUAUCAUUCUUCCGCAUGGUUGAAUGAUUAA